GCAGGUGCAUGCCUCUAGCAUGAAGUCAGACAAGUGAACCCGCUGAAUUUAAGCAUAUCAAUAAGCGGAGGAAAGGGCGAAUUCGCGGCCGCUAAAUUCAAU
rnacentral:rRNA from 1 species